GGGGGGAGUGCAGGAUCUUAGGCUGUGUCCCCUAGCGCCCUGGGCUCAGGGCCUGCACCAAUGAAAUCAUGCUCUAGGGCCGCCCAGCCCCUC
rnacentral:pre_miRNA from 1 species